UACGAAGGGAGCUAGCGUUGUUCGGAAUCACUGGGCGUAAAGCGCACGUAGGCGGAUGUGUCAGUCAGGGGUGAAAUCCCGGAGCUCAACUUCGGAACUGCCCUUGAUACUGCACGUCUUGAGUCCGGAAGAGGUGGGUGGAAUUCCUAGUGUAGAGGUGAAAUUCGUAGAUAUUAGGAAGAACACCGGUGGCGAAGGCGGCCCACUGGUCCGGUACUGACGCUGAGGUGCGGAAGCGUGGGGAGCAAACAGG
rnacentral:rRNA from 1 species